rnacentral:rRNA from 1 species
AUUGAACGCUGGCGGCAGGCCUAACACAUGCAAGUCGAGCGGAUGAAGGGAGCUUGCUCCUGGAUUCAGCGGCGGACGGGUGAGUAAUGCCUAGGAAUCUGCCUGGUAGUGGGGGAUAACGUCCGGAAACGGGCGCUAAUACCGCAUACGUCCUGAGGAGAAAGUUGGGGAUUCUUCGACCCUACGCCUUUAGAAUAGCCCAGGUCGGAUUAGCUAGUUGGUGGGGUAAAGGCCUACCAAGGCGACGAUCCGUAACUGGUCUGAGAGGAUGAUCAGUCACACUGGAACUGAGACACGGUCCAGACUCCUACGGGAGGCAGCAGUGGGGAAUAUUGGACAAUGGGCGAAAGCCUGAUCCAGCCAUGCCGCGUGUGUGAAGAAGGUCUUCGGAUUGUAAAGCACUUUAAGUUGGGAGGAAGGGCAGUAAGUUAAUACCUUGCUGUUUUGACGUUACCAACAGAAUAAGCACCGGCUAACUUCGUG